rnacentral:rRNA from 1 species
CCUACGGGGGGCAGCAGUGGGGAAUAUUGGGCAAUGGGCGCAAGCCUGACCCAGCAACGCCGCGUGAAGGAAGAAGGCUUUCGGGUUGUAAACUUCUUUUAAGGGGGAAGAGCAGAAGACGGUACCCCUUGAAUAAGCCACGGCUAACUACGUGCCAGCAGCCGCGGUAAUACGUAGGCGGCAAGCGUUGUACGGAUUUACUGGGUGUAAAGGGCGUGCAGCCGGAGAGACAAGUCAGAUGUGAAAUCCACGGGUUCAACCCGUGAACUGCAUUUGAAACUGGUUCCCUUGAGUGUCGGAGAGGUGAUCAGAAUUCCUUGUGUAGCGGUGAAAUGCGUAGAUAUAAGGAAGAACACCAGUGGCGAAGGCGGAUUACUGGACGAUAACUGACGGUGAGGCGCGAAAGCGUGGGGAGCAAACAGGAUUAGAUACCCGAGUAGUC